ACACUUGUCCUCAAAUUGAGGUAUUACGAGCAGCAUGGUUACUUCCAGCAUGAUAAUGGACCAUGGUUCACAACAAAAUUACAGUUUUUUCCAACUGCUUACACACAAAAUCUUUUCAUGUCACACGAUUUUUGAAAUCUCUCAUUUAAAGUGCAAACAUACACACCAAAUCUCCAAAAACCAUAAGCUAAUACACAGCCUUUGAUUCAAUUACAUAAAACACAAUUCUGUACCUAAAACAUAAAAAUCUAUCAUGAAGUGACUUUUCCAAACACAACCAAUCAAAAUGCUACACUUAUUCACCAGGGCCUCAUUUAAAGGAAUGCUUCAGGAUUUAGAAUUAAGCUUUGUAUCAGUAGAAAACCAGUAGUAUUUUUGAAUUACCGUGCCUCUCCCCUUCAUAUCACCCCGAGAUGAGAGGUGUGUAUUUUUUGUCUGGAAAAAAAGCCUCCGAUGACGCAAAUUGACGAUUUUUGCGUCAUCUGAGGUUUCUUUGGCCAGAGGCUUAAAAUUACAGACAGUAGUAGCAGCUAGUUCCACAUGUUUUCACUACGCCCAUGUGGGUGGGAUCUCACUCACAGAAUGUAAAGAUAGUGUCAGCCAUCUUUAGAAGCUAAGCUAACAGGCUAUUGAGUAAAUGUAUUGUGCAGCGGAGGCGUUUGUGUGCAGGGUGCGGCAUUUUCAUCUUUGGAAUUAUUUACAUGUUUGGCCAAAAUAACUAAGAAACUGAGUGAAGCUUGCUCUUACGACACAAUUCGUUUCUGUGUUGAACCAACCACCCAAGCUUCGUAUCGUGUAUGGACAGCGGAGUCCUGGAUACAUAUUUUAGAAUCCUAAACUGGAAGCGGCAGCCAAAGCCUGCAGGGAUAAAUGGACGUCUGACCUUACAAUUAAAUGUUCCUUUAAGUUCAAACCGGUAGACAAGGAAGGAGAGUCAUCUCUGAUGAGUUUAGGGCUACACUUGUUGAUCAUGUGAUUAACCACAGUUUAACCAUGAGAGAGGCUGGACUGACAGUCCAACUUGAGUCAAUUUACAGUGGCGUCCAUCAUCUGAACCUUCAGAAAUGAGAACAGAGUGGAAAGGCAAAGACAACAUGGAAGACGAGGACACUUGUUUACAGAUGUACAAGAGACUAGAAUUUUAAAUAUGGUUUUGUCCAACAAUGCAAUUAGGAUUCGAGAGAUAAGAGAGCAUAUCUUGAAUAAUGACACCAAAUUUGACAACAUCAAUGCUGUAAGCCUGUCGACCAUACAACGCAUCCUCCAAUAGUGAUGAUGAAACAACUUUACAAGGUGCCAGUUGAAAGAAACUCGGACAGAGUCAAGAAUCUGCGACAUGACUUUGUAGAGGCACCACAGAAGAAAUGUAAUAGGACAGAGGGCAAUUUCCAAUGUCCCUGGACAGCUGUGAGCCUAUGGGGUGCUGCCAUCACUUAAAACUGGGUCCUCCACCACAAUGCCACACUGGGUCUGUACAACACCUGCCAAAUGCUAAUUUUUCUUGAUGCAAUUUACAGAAUGCUUGUCCCUGAUUCAGAUCAGGAGCCUGCUAGAUUUGUGGUUACAUCGGACUAUGUUAGUUUUCACUGGGCUAUUCUGGUCAAAUGCUAACUUUUCUUGAUGCAUUUUACAGAAUGCUUGUCCCUGAUUCAGAUCAGGAUCCUGCUAGAUUUGUGGUAACAUCGGACUAUGUUAUUUUUCACUGGGCUAUUCUGGUCCAAAACUGAUUUGCCACCCAUUCACAAUUUGAAGUUUUGUACCAACCCCCAUUUCUAAAUCCGGUGGAAAGUAUAUCAUCGCCAAAACCUAUGUCCUGCAUGGCACUUCUCCAGGCAGUUGAGGACAUAGAGGUUGCCUCUGUCCAAGGUUGGUUUUGCCAUGCUAGGAGAUACUUCCCUCAGUGUUUGGCAAGAGGAAACGUAUCUUGUGAUGUGGAAGAAGUAUUGUGGCCAGACCCAGCCCGAAGAAGAGAUAAAGCGUAGUGACUGCCCUCCCCCCAUCAAUUCCUGGACUGCUCCCCCGGGACCCCCCCACAUACACAAUUGCGUUCUUUACUGUAUUUUAAAGAAUAUACUUUUGGUUUACAUGUAUUUGAUUUUGUUGUAUGCUACUCUAUACAACAAUAACGUCUGGCCACUCUACUGAAAUGUAGAUAUAAGCCUAUGAAAGACCAAAGAGCUUUAGAUUUGGAACAACAGUGUUUUCAUGGUUUAUCCAAACAUUUACUAUUAUGAAAGUGUUUGGCAUUUGAUGCAAAUGCUUUAUUCUGACAUGUGUUUAUGGCAUUUUGAAUGCAGUGUUACAUUUUGA